GGGGGGGGGGGGGGGGGGGGGGGGGGGGGGGGGGGGGGGGGGGGGGGGGGGGGGGGGGGGGGGGGGGGGGGGGGGGGGGGGGGGGGGGGGGGGGGGGGGGGGGGGAUGGGAUGGGAUGGGAUGGGAUGGGAUGGGAUGGGAUGGGAUGGGAUGGGAAUGGGGUGGGGAUGGGAGUGGGAAUGGGAAUGGGAAGGGGAAGGGGAUGGAUUGGGAUAAGGUUGGGAUGAGGUGGAUAUGGGACUGGCACAAAGAUGAGAUGGUGAUGGGGAAGAGGGUGGGUUGGAGAUGGGAACAGGGAGAGGAUGGAGAUAGGAAUGGGAAAGGAAAUGGGGUUGGGAUGAGGACAGCAUGGGGAUGGGGUUGAAAUGGGAUGGGACGUGGGUGGGAUUAGAUGGGAAUGGGUUUGGGAUGGGAUGGGAUGGGAAUGAGGAUGAGGAUGGUUGCCCUGGGGAUGGGCACAGGGACAGAGGGGACAGGGGUGGCUCUGGGGCAGCCUGUGCCGUGUGUGUGGCUAUUGAAGGCGUCGUUCCAGAGCCGCUGGAUAAUUGCAGCGCUGCCGCCCGGAGCCGAGCGGAUGAGCCGGGCGACAGCUCCCAAUUAUUGCAGCGCAGCGGGAGAAAGGGAAAGAAAGGAAGAGAAGAAAAGCACAAUUAUCGGGGCCUCGGCGACGGCGCCGCGCACGGCUGCAAUUUCCAGGCACAGCCCCGCUCCCAGCGCGUGACACUUCCAUUGGUUUUUAAACGGGCACUUUUCCAUCUCUGCCUCCCGUCCUUCAUCCCACAGGCAGCAGGACAGGCUCCUGAAAUCCCCUUCUCUGCCUCCCGUCCUUCAUCCCACAGGCAGCAGGACAGGCUCCUGAUGCUCCCUGAGCAUGCCAGCCCUUGGUGGGCACCUCAACACCACCCAUCUGCCUGGAGACUCCAAUGCUUCCCCCAUUUCCAUCUCACUCUCCCACCUUUCCCUCCCAGAGCAGCUCCCGGCUCGGGAAUCGCAGCCCUGUAUAUUAAAAAAGGUCAGAUUUCAGCUCUCGUGAGGAAGCAGAAAGCAGAGCAGCGUGAAGAGCCGCAGCUCCUGCUUCUUGGGGGAUCAGG
rnacentral:lncRNA from 1 species